ensembl:snRNA U6 U6 spliceosomal RNA
GUGCUCACUUCCGUAUAGCACAUAUACCAAAAUUGGAAUGAUACCGAGAAGAUGCAUGGCCCCUGUGCAAGAAUAACAUGCAAAUUCGUGAAGCGUUAUAAACAAAU